rnacentral:rRNA from 1 species
GACGUAGGGGGCUAGCGUUGUCCGGAUUUAUUGGGCGUAAAGAGCUCGUAGGCGGCUCGACAAGUUGGGUGUGAAAACUCCAGGCUCAACCUGGAGACGCCACUCAAAACUGUCGUGGCUAGAGGCCGGUAGGGGAGUAGGGAAUAUCCGGUGUAGCGGUGAAAUGCGCAGAUAUCGGGAGGAACACCUAUGGCGAAGGCAGCUCGCUGGGACGUUACUGACGCUGAGACGCGAAAGCGUGGGGAGCAAACAGG